UCUUCUCCAGCGUUUCUGAUCAUUUCCCUACCAACUUCAAACCUGCUUCCUUCAUUUGUGUCAUUUCCCCACCAAUUUGUUUCCUCUGUUUCCAUUCUUUCUUCUUCAUUUUGGUGUCUUCUUCAGUUCCACUUUUUUCUUUUGUUUUCGGUUGAGUUUUAGAGCUGCUGAGGGCUUCCAUCUUCAUUCUAUUCUUUGCGAUUUUGGUUUGGGUUCUUUUUCUUUGAUUGGUCUGAUUUUUUGUGGUUUUAUUUUUGGGACAUGUUACAGUAACAACGACGGCUUUGGCAAAGAAGUUGUUGGAGAAGUUAAGAAGAAGAUAGAGGCUCUUCAAACUAUUGGAGAUUCUCUGUAACUUCAAUCCAAGCAAGUUGACACUAUCCAACAGAUCAAAGAUUUCUAUAAGAUCUCUAGAAUCAAGUGACAAGGAGAUUCAUGCAUGCGAAACAAAUCCAAAAAGAAACACAAACAAGAUACAUAGAGAGUAUGGUUCAGGGUCAUGCUACUCUUACAAAGCAAUGAGUAAUCCCUUUGCAACGUGCUCACCAAGUUUUUGAGAAUAUCACGCAGUGAAAGAUCCCCGAAACCCAAAUUCACGCAGUGUGCCUUGCAUGCCCAUCAAGCCUGAUUUGAAGUUGUUUUUACUAUGGUGUGCAGUGGCUGAAAGAGGCAUGGAUUCUGGGUCAAGAUGUUUCUGCUGGGUUCACUUCAACCAUGUAUACUGUUCUUUUCCCUCACUUCUGGCUCCCGCUGUGUGCUCUGCUUCACACUACUGCCUCUCAUCCACUCCUUAUCGCUGCAAUUUGGGAUACCAAAGAUACCACUAGAUCAUCAGAGAAAAAUUCAAUUGAAAAAGAGAUUGAAACUUAAACUGCUGAAGCGCAAACGUAAGUUUAUUAUGCAUAUAAUUUUAGUACCAUUUUUGUUAUAUGAUUUUGGUUCUUGGGUAUGGCAGAUUUUUUAGCAAAAAAUGGGGAAGAAGAGAAAGCACAGUGAGGGUAUGUUGUUGUGAUGGCAUUUGCUUUUGCUUCUAUUUGCUUGGUACUUAUACUUUUUGUAUGCCUUCUUGCAUAGUGUUUCGUAAUAAUUAUUUUCAGCCAUUUUGGUUGCCACAUAAUAGAGCAGUUGCCAGAAGAAUCCAGAACAUGCGAUGGAGAGUUGAUGGUGGUCUGUGAUAGACUAUUCUAUUUUUAUGAUCUUGAAACUAAAUUUCUUUGCCUUGCUCUAUUUUCCCAAUUUUUUUGCUAUAUCAUGCACACAUAUUGGCUGAUAUUAAUGUAGUGUUGCAGUCUUUGAUAUGUCGAAUUGGUUGCCUUGAGCAGCCAGUGUUAACAUGCAUACACAGGAAAUGAUGCUGGAAGAAAAUUUUUGCUUGAUGGAGAGGUCACUAUUGACACAAUGGCAGAUGAUAUGGAAUUCACAGUGUUCAUUGAAGCUCAUUAAAAUGUGUACAUUUUUUGUUGCAAAGCUGCCUUUUCUUAUUUUAAAAACUUAUCAUCUACAGACUGUGACGGAUAGUUGGAUAGAGAAUGCUGUCAAUGGGCUAAUGGGCAAGCAGAUUAUCAGGAAGAAUGGAAGAAUAAAGUUUCUGGUUGAUAUCUUGCUUGGGCUUAAGUUCUCCAUGAGUGGAAAUUUUGUAGGGCACUCUAUU